rnacentral:rRNA from 1 species
GACAGAGGGUGCAAACGUUUGUUCGGAAUUACUGGGCGUAAAGCGCGUGUAGGCGGUCGCGAAAGUCGGAUGUGAAAGCCCGGAGCUCAACUCCGGAAGUGCACUCGAAACUCCCGAGCUGGAGUCCUGGAGAGGAAGGCGGAAUUCUCGGUGUAGAGGUGAAAUUCGUAGAUAUCGAGAGGAACACCGGUGGCGAAGGCGGCCUUACUGGACAGUGACGUGACGCUGAGACGGCGAAAGCGUGGGGAGCAAACAGGG